rnacentral:pre_miRNA from 1 species
GUUUUUCAAAUUUUUAUUGAAUUGGAACGUUUGCCUACGUUUGCCGCUAGGGGCGCUGUUCCAACUGCAUACAAAUUUAAGUUU